rnacentral:misc_RNA from 1 species
CUUCAACCUCACUCCUCUCUUUCUCUUUCUCUUUCUAGAGUUUCUCUGAUGUACAUUCCUCUAUGGAUGAUCCCAUGAUUUCACCAUUGACAGUCCAAUCAGCUCCUUCGUCACAGCUGAAUGUUCCUGCAAUAAUGCCACGCCCCUCUCUGAAUCUCGAAACCCUAGCUCCAUCUGACCACGUGAACCGCUUGAUCAACUCCAGCCAUUAUAUCUCUCCGUCGAGAACAAUUUAUUCCGAUAGGUUUAUUCCCAGCAGAUCCAGCUCCAAUUUUAAUCUAUUCAACAUUUCGUCGUCUUCGCCGCCGUCAUCAACGAAUCUUCCGACGUCCGACGGAGGAAAGGAGGACAGCUCCAGUGCCUACGCGGCACUACUACGUUCUGCUCUUUUCGGACCCCACACGCCGGAUAAAAGGGACUCGCCGGGACGCAAUAUUUUCCGGUUCAAGACGGAGACAAGAC